AACCGCGGUUGGCGCUGGACGGCGGCCCCGGUGCACCCCCAGGCGCGCCGCACUCUGUGAAGUUGGACACGCGUAACAAUCAGAGUGGCAGCCGGGCUGCGGCGGGCUCCCCCCUCCUCCACCUCCUCCUCCCCCUGCCAGAGGGGCAGCGGCUCGCCGCCCCCCUGGGGCGCCCAGUCCCUGUCCAAAUGAGGGAACCCGGGAUGGAACUGGACGUCUAGAAGUGGUAAGGCCGAAGGUCUCGAGUGUGGAGCCCUGAGGAUGCACAGCUGUUAGCCAGCAGCCACAAUACCGGCCAGAAGUAGCCGCCUUUCAGUAGUGCAGGAGUCCCCAAGUUGACCUCAGUGAGGAAACUGGGUUGAAAACCACUGCUCCUGUGAAGGUGCUGGGGGUGCUGAAGAGGUGAUGCAGAGGUCAAGAGCACACUGUUCUUGCAGAGGACCCAAGUUAAGUUCACAGCACCUAUACUGGAUGGCUCUCAACCCCCUGUAAGUCCAACUCUGGAGGAUCCAACACCCUCUUCCAGACUUUGAGUGCACUGACGUCAUGUGCACAUACCCAUAUACAGGCGCACAUAAUUAAAAAAUAAAAUCUUCUAAUAAAGAAAGAAAAACCCUACUAUGUAAGAUUUAUGUUCCUACAAAAAUUACCAUCAUAUCUUGGCCCCACAAAAAUAUUACUCAGGAAGCAAUAGCUCCCAUCUGAGCCACAAGACUGUUAUGUCUUGAAAGACACCAAAAUGACUCAAAACCAUCCAGACAAAAUAGGAAUAAGAACAUCUAUCUAGGGCUGGAGAGAUGGCUCAGAGGUUAAGAGUACUGACUGCUCUUCCAGAGGUCGUGAGUUCAAUUCCCAGCACCCACAUGGUGGCUCACAGCCAUCUGUAAUGAGAUCUGGCGCCCUCUUCUGUAUACAUAAUAAAUAAAUAAAUCUUUAAAAAAAAAAAAAAAAAGAACAUCUAUCUAUGUAGUAGAUAGCAA